AGGUUGAGAACUACUGCCCUAAAAGCUUCAGAUCCCACCUGAUCUUGGAAGUCAUGUAAGUUCAACCUUGGUUAGUACUUGGAUGGGAGACUGCCAACAUAUACCAGGUGCUUAGACUA
rnacentral:rRNA from 11 species